rnacentral:tRNA from 1 species
ACCGAAAUAGCUCAGUUGGGAGAGCGUUAGACUAUUGAUCAAAAGUCGAUCCCAGGAUUAGAAAACCUUUUUCUAUU